rnacentral:rRNA from 1 species
CCUACGGGAGGCAGCAGUGAGGAAUAUUGGUCAAUGGGCGGGAGCCUGACGCAGCGACGCCGCGUGAGGGAUGAAGGUCUUCGGAUCGUAAACCUCUGUCAGCAGGGAAGAACGGUCACUGUGCUAAUCAGCAGUGAAUUGACGGUACCUGCAAAGGAAGCACCGGCUAACUCCGUGCCAGCAGCCGCGGUAAUACGGAGGGUGCGAGCGUUAAUCGGAAUGACUGGGCGUAAAGCGCUCGUAGGCGGUAUGGCAAGUCAAGGGUGAAAUCCCCGGGCUCAACGUGGGAACUGCCUUUGAAACUGGAAAACUGGAGUGUGUGAGAGGAUAGUGGAAUUCCAGGUGUAGGAGUGAAAUCCGUAGAUAUCUGGAGGAACAUCAGUGGCGAAGGCGACUAUCUGGCACAUAACUGACGCUGAGGAGCGAAAGCGUGGGUAGCAAACAGGAUUAGAUACCCCGGUAGUC